rnacentral:RNase_P_RNA from 2 species
UGGGUCGGCCAGGCAGUCGCUCUUCACUUCGGUGGAGGGAGGAAAGUCCGAACACCACAGGGCAGGGUGCCCCGAGUCAAUCGGGGGUCUUGCGGGCCAUAUCCCGCAGGAACGGAUCGUGUCACAGAAAACACACAUCCCGUCCGCGUGAGCGGACGAGAAACAGGUGAAAAGGUGGUGUAAGAGACCACCGCUCGUUCAGCAAUGAGCGAGGCAAGAUAAACCCCACCCGGUGCAAGACCACGUAAGUCAUGGCUGAAGCGGCCCGCUUCUGUCCCGCCCUGCGGGACACCGUGACGGGUAGGUCGCAUCAGAGAAAUGACUGCCUCCCCUGCCUUCGCGCAGGGAAGACAGAAUUCGGCUUAUCGGCCGCCAACCU